UGUUAAAAAGAGAACUGUUAAAGGCCAACCCGACCAGUACCGAAUGGUGCAGGAUCUCCGUGCUGUUAAUGAAGUAACCGUAAAGGACACUGCUAUUGUUCCAAACCCACACACUCUCUUGUCCCAGGUUCCACCAACUGCCACAAUUUUCACUGUAGUGGAUCUAGCCAAUGCCUUUUUCAGUGUGCCCCUUGACCCUUCCUGAUGUUUUCUCUUCGCCUUCACCCACGAAGGACAACAAUACACUUGGACUGUCAUGCCUCAGGGGGCCCAGAAUUCCCCCACACAGUUUGCUCAUGCCAUGUCUCUAGUUCUGGAGCCCUGGCAGAAAUCUCACUCAGAUGUUGUCCUGCUCCAAUAUGUUGAUGAUCUCCUUCUCUGUGCUCCUGAUUUGCUCAUUGCAGAACGUGACUCAGAUCUCCUAUGUUUCCUCGCUGCAGCCGGUUGCAAAGCUUCCAAAUCCAAGCUACAAUGGUGCCGGCCCUCUGUGGUCUUCUUGGGACAUUGUCUUUCCCAUGCAGGGCCGGCGCUUCCUAUAAGGCGAACUAGGCAGCCGCCUAGGGCGCCAUCGUCGGCCCUUUAAAUUCUGCAGCCGUCUGAGCGGUCUAUAGAGAGCGCUCAGGCGGCUGCCACAGUGCCUCACCUCCCCUGCCCUGC